rnacentral:lncRNA from 1 species
ACUCACCCCAUAAGGUCGCUUUCUCCUCCUCUAUUAAGGGUUGUGCCAUGUCUGAAGAAGAAACAUGAUGCAAGUAAUUGAUUCGUCCAGUUGUGUUACCUUGCAAUGGCGGAUAUGGUAAGAACCCGGCCUCUUCUCCCUUGCCUGCUCCGACAGCGGUGUUCUGGGCGUCCAUGACCAUGGCAGAAAGUCUCAAAGGAGGACGCCGGCAAGCACAAGGCGCUGCUGCCACCAUCUCUGGAGACUGGCACAACGCAAUGGCUACAAGGGUCCAAGUUGCGUGUGUAGCAGAAGGACACUGAUGGGAAGAAGACCAGUCCAUUUCUCUGGGAAAUAAUCCGAUGGUUUGCUCCUUUCAGUCUUGAGGAUGAGUUGAUUGACAACAAUAAGAUGGGGAGGGGAAGCAUCGGAGGUAAAGAUGUGCAAGGAUGAUAACUCAGGGAGAGGACUGGUAUGCCACGUGAAACAUUACAACAAGAGGAUUGACCUACAAGAGAAAAAACAAGGAGAUGGGGACAUCUAGCAAUCAGCAGCGUGGCGAGGAGGAUGGUGGUGUCACCUGACAUGAAUAGUGGUAAACAAGUUGAUGUAGUUAGCCACGUGUUCCUUAAUAUUUAGGCCUGGGAAUUGGGACUUGCCAAAAAGCUGUCGCGUCUAUGUUUGCUAAUGUUUUCAGUCCAUUGGUGUUUCCCUCAUUAUCAUCUCGCGGACUUUGGAUCUCUGUCAAUACAUGAAUUCAGUUGCUACAAUUUCUUACAGUAUUUCUGUAGUUCUUUGUAGGGGAUUUUUGUUCAUGCAUGACUCAUGGUACAAUAAGAAUUAUCUGUAAUUCAUGGACAAUAGGAGUUUUCUGCCUGGUAGUAAUUACUCAAAUAACAUCUUUUUCCAUGCUUUCUCUUAUUAUUAUUUUUAUGUUUAAUUAUUUAUUUGAUCAGCAACCUACAUGAAGUACUUUCCAGAGCAGCCAUUCUGGAGUCUCUUAUACCAUUAACAGAGUUCUAUUCAUAGAUGAUAAACCCUGUUCCAGAGCACCCGCUACGAGCUUCAUGUAUGUUGUUGAUUCAUAAGAGAUUCACUUGGGAGCAGGUGAUGUGGUUCUUGGAACGCUUCCUUUAGCAUGGGAAUUUAUACGCCAUGGAGUUAAUUAAUAUAUAAAUUUAAAUAUAAAAAUAAGAAGAAAAAGAUAAAUUUUGGUAGGUUUGCUCGACAUUGUAGUUUGAAUUAAAAAGAACACAUGUUUUUGCUGUUUGAACAUAUUGAAUCAUGAGCUGGCAAAAAGCAAUAUAUAGCAUGCUCAUAAUAAAUUUUAUUUACAUUUCUGUUCUCUUCCAUGGACAAUUAUAGACUUCAGACUAGAUCGAGAAAUUACAUUUUAUUGGUGUCACCAGAAGGUCCAGAACUGAUAGAAAUACGACCUUUUACAGUUUGAGCAACCUUGUGAAAUAACCAUUUAACGAUUACUCUUUCUACUGCUACUAAGAUGCUUAGCAUAAGCCGGUAAAAUAAUACUAGGUACUUCUGGUUAUAAGUUCGUCGCCGACUUUGAUGAUGUUAAGGCUUGAGAACUGAUGGUACUUUCAUUAAGUUCCACUAUGGUACUUAAUUUUUGAAGUUGGUGUAAUGUUAUUAUUGAGUAAACUGAUGAAGUAUACCGGAACUGACACACGAUACUAGGAAUUGUAUGUCCUUUUCUUGAUAAUAAAAUACUCAUUUGGUCUGAUUAAAAUUUUUGUCACAUGAUUCAUCGUUGUGCAUGAAUUUACUUUAUUUUAGUUUGUAUUACUUGGAAUGUUGAGAGUUGGUGUUCCCUCUCUCUUCAGGUCAUUCAUUGAAGCUUCAGCGACCCAUAAAGCCCGAGAAGUGAAGCCCUCUUCAAUCCUCUACCUCUCUCGCUGUUGUGUCCAGCCUGCUGCCUGCCUGCUGUGUUGCCUCAAAGAAGGGUCGGGGGCACUUGAUGUGGAGGAUGGCGACAAGGAGAAGUGAGGAUUUCGUGAGGACAGAAACAACGGGAGAGAUAAAACAUACUCCUCUGGUGCAUUGAAUUUAGACUGUUUGAUGUUCUGCUGCUGGUCAAUUCAGUUUCCGUGCCCCGGUUUCAUGACGGGAGUUGUCCGUCAGGGGGUAAGUUAUAGGCGCACGCAAGCGCGCAUGUGCUCGUGCAUCUCGGUGUGUGGACACGGGAUGCUCUCUUUGCAGUUCAGAGUAAGAGCGAUCAUAUAUGGCUUGAGAUAUUGCAUAGGAAAAGGAUCUACCAGAUCAUCAAUGCAACACAGGACAUCUGAAUUUAACCUUAUCUUUCUCUUUUCUUUUGAAAGGGAUAGAGGAGUGGAAAGGCGUACUGCUUGAUCAGAAACUAAGGAGUUUGCAUCAUUAUUAGCUGCCAGUAUAGCUUAUUUUGAGCUUAACCACAUACCUGAUUGUUGUGUAUGAAAGCAUAAUCCUAUCAAAUACUCUUCUUUUUUGCUUGGGUGUUCUGGUGAGAAUCUUCAAGGUACCUGGUUGUUAUCUCAGCAAGUCACAUAUCUGAAAGUUCAAUAGAGACUUGCACCUCAGAGUUUUUGAUAGGUCGCUAGAGGUGUGUGAAGUUUUCUUUCCUCCCGUUGCAACGCACGGGCACAUUUACUAGUAAUAAUAAAUGGGCUUUUGCUUCUUGCGGUACAUCACAAAAAUUGCCCCCAAAGUUGCAAAAUAUUACCCACCAAUGCCAUCUAUAAAUGAUAAAA